rnacentral:rRNA from 1 species
UACGUGAGGGGCGAACGUUGUUCGGUGUCACUGGGCUUAAAGGGCGCGUAGGUGGCUGUGCAAGUAAGGUGUGAAAGCCCUCGGCUUACCCGGGGAAUUGCGCCUUAAACUGCAUGGCUUGAGGGAUUCAGGGGAAUGGGGAACUCCAGGUGUAGCGGUGAAAUGCGCAGAUAUCAGGAGGAACACCAAUGGCGAAGGCAGCUCUCUGGUACGUGACUGACGCUGAGACGCGAAAGCGUGGGUAGCAAACAGG